UACGGGAGGCAGCAGUGGGGAACCUAGGGGAGGCAGCAGAGGGGAAUAUUGACAAUGGGCGCAAGCAUGAUCCAGCCAUGCCGCGUGAGUGAUGAAGGCCCUAGGGUGUAAAGCUCUUCACCGGGAAGAUAAGACGGUAACCGGAGAAGAAGCACCGGCUACUUUG
rnacentral:rRNA from 1 species